UGUUGUUCAGUUGCUCAAUGAUGCUGUGUGGAGAGAGAGAAGCUAUGGUGAUGGCUCCACCCCCUACACGUGACUCACAGUAUCUCCUUGCUUCCAUGGUUGCCCGGCUUUCCUCCACAGGCAUUUCCCAUCACAUUCUCCCUCACAUC